rnacentral:lncRNA from 1 species
AGCAACAGUUGGUAUUUCUUUCACUAUAGUCAGUCAUUUUUUAUUCAUACGAACAUCUUUGUGUCUUUAAGUUUUUAGCAGAAUCUGUGUAUGAAUUUUUUCUUUUAAGUCAAAAUGUUGCCUAAUACGUUGGUCGCAUAAGCCGAUUUUUGUAUUCUGUAAAUUCACUUUAGCAGAACAUUUGGGUAAACCGGUCCGAAUAAGCUGUCAGUGCUGAAAAUAACCAAUGUCAGAUUUUGUAAUCUCAUUUGAUUGACAAGUUCAUCAGAUCAGCACAACUCCAAACCAGCCGCUUCUUUACCUGUGAGUCCUGCCACUUUGAGUAACAAAACUAAAAUUAGUCGCACUGGUAGAUACUCGAUCGUAUGUCAAUGGGGCAAGGUAAAGAACAAUCAAUUUAUAAAUAUAAAUAUGUACAUAUUAAAUAUAUUUUGGAUUGGAUUUUUCAUUUUAUUGUAUUUUAAUGUGUUAUUUACGAAUUGCGUUGGAUUCUUCAAAAUUGUCAUGUUUACAACUUUCUCAUUUCUACAAGUGUGAUUCCCUCAACAUAAUAUCCAUAAAUUUUUCGCUUAUCUUGCUUAGUAAGUAAACUCAGAUCGAAACUCAAGGUUAAUAAUACUAAUAUGGAUUGCUUGUCUUAUUUCUACGCGCCAUUCCGGCCUUUCAAAUGCAAAAACAGUUAUUUUAUUAUUAUCCGAACAGUCCAAAGCGCUGAAUAUCCUCAACUUCGUAACAACGUCCAUUUACAUGACCCAUUGCCUCGUAAACAAUUAAUUACUAAUAUUUUACACGAUUACUAAAUAUUAAACUGAUAGCGCCAAUAAAUGUCAUAUGUAAUCUAGGCCUCCAGCUUCUUUUUAGCCAUUUCCUCUUUCCAUUUUCGCGAAAGUUCGAGCAUUUUGCGCAUCUUAUCUCCUUGAUCAGUCGCCGUAUCCGGAAACAGAUAGUCCAAAUAUUCUUCGAAUGAACCGUCUUCAAGUCUACGGCGUUUCUUAACAACCUGUGGCAUUAGUGAAGAGACAUGCUUACGUGUAUCUUCCGUGCCAUGCAUUGCCUCAAAUUGUUUCCAUGCUUCAAGUAAUACAACUCGCUCUUCCUUCAAACCCUGCUGGCGUAAAUGGGCCAAUGCAUUUUCAAAAACAUUUCGCGCACGCACAACAGCGGUUGGAGAAGCCACUUCUUCAUUCGGUGGUUCUUCGUCAUCGUCCUCCAGAUGGGCAAUUUCAAAGUUUGCAAAACUAAUCCAAACUUUAACAUGAGGUGCAGUCCGUAGUAACUGCUGGUAAAUACUUCUAGCUUUUCCGUAUUCCAUUUCCUCGAAUUCAAAAUCAAUAUAAGCCUUCCACACAAGCUCUGGGGUUUCCAAAAUAGGCUGGUUUACAGCCAAAUUAUAUAAAGCGCGAGCACGAUCACUAUCUCCAAGCUUAGUCUCUAAGGCAGCGUAACCAAGCCAGGGAGCACAAGCCUCGGGAUCAUAAAGAAUCCAUUUUUCAUAAAGAAUUCGACACCUGUCAAACUGCUUAAUUGCGUCUUCGAAUUCAAUAUAACCUCGGAAUAAUUUUGGUUUUGGACACAUUCCCAACGCACGACCCAACGUUUUUCUAGCAACAUCAAUCUUACGUUGCCUAAGCUCAAACAUUGCAUACAUGAGCCAUAAUUUGGCAAAUGUAAAUUUUUUAUGGGGUAUAAGCUUGAGAGCUUCUUGGUAAACCUUUCUUGCGCGGUCAACGUCCUUCACAUCUAUCUCUUCAAAUAAGCAAUAGUUUAACCAAAUAUAAACGUAACGUCUCCAUGCGUUCUUUUCAACUACUUCAGGAACCUUAGCAAUAGCUUUUUCGUAGGUUUCGCGAAUAGUAUUAAUAUCCCCUGCACUUUCUUCGAGCUUCAGCAAA